AAUGACUAAAUUGGAAAAAGAAAAAAAGAAAAAAAAGAAAAAAAAGAAGAAUUUAGAAGCCAAAGAAAUGUAAAUAGGAUAAAAAAAUUGUUAAGUUGAAGAGACAAGUUCAAAAUGAUGUGUAGUUGACUGUUUUAUCUUCUGUAAUUGAUUUUCUCAUUAAAGUGUCGCCGAAAUUAGAUGAGAAAUUUCAUUUUAAGCCUAAUUAUUCAGCAAUCAGAUGCUGUAUUGCAACAUACCAAAAGUUU
rnacentral:lncRNA from 1 species